rnacentral:siRNA from 1 species
CGUGGACCGACGCGGAUUAC